AGUCGUACGCUUCUUUUUCCACCGGAGCUUGCUCCACCGGAAAAAGANGAGUGGCGAACGGGUGAGUAACACGUGGGUAACCUGCCCAUCAGAAGGGGAUAACACUUGGAAACAGGUGCUAAUACCGUAUAACAAUCGAAACCGCAUGGUUUUGAUUUGAAAGGCGCUUUCGGGUGUCGCUGAUGGAUGGACCCGCGGUGCAUUAGCUAGUUGGUGAGGUAACGGCUCACCAAGGCCACGAUGCAUAGCCGACCUGAGAGGGUGAUCGGCCACAUUGGGACUGAGACACGGCCCAAACUCCUACGGGAGGCAGCAGUAGGGAAUCUUCGGCAAUGGACGAAAGUCUGACCGAGCAACGCCGCGUGAGUGAAGAAGGUUUUCGGAUCGUAAAACUCUGUUGUUAGAGAAGAACAAGGAUGAGAGUAACUGUUCAUCCCUUG
rnacentral:rRNA from 1 species